GGAUUGACGGUGAGAGUGAUGGUCUGGGGGGGAGGGUGAAGGACUGUGAUUCCAGAAGUCAAUCUGUGUCC